UGUAUAAUGGGUCAGCGACUUAUAUUCUGUAGCAAGGUUAACCGAAUAGGGGAGCCGAAGGGAAACCGAGUCUUAACUGGGCGUUAAGUUGCAGGGUAUAGACCCGAAACCCGGUGAUCUAGCCAUGGGCAGGUUGAAGGUUGGGUAACACUAACUGGAGGACCGAACCGACUAAUGUUGAAAAAUUAGCGGAUGACUUGUGGCUGGGGGUGAAAGGCCAAUCAAACCGGGAGAUAGCUGGUUCUCCCCGAAAGCUAUUUAGGUAGCGCCUCGUGAAUUCAUCUCCGGGGGUAGAGCACUGUUUCGGCAAGGGGGUCAUCCCGACUUACCAACCCGAUGCAAACUGCGAAUACCGGAGAAUGUUAUCACGGGAGACACACGGCGGGUGCUAACGUCCGUCGUGAAGAGGGAAACAACCCAGACCGCCAGCUAAGGUCCCAAAGUCAUGGUUAAGUGGGAAACGAUGUGGGAAGGCCCAGACAGCCAGGAUGUUGGCUUAGAAGCAGCCAUCAUUUAAAGAAAGCGUAAUAGCUCACUGGUCGAGUCGGCCUGCGCGGAAGAUGUAACGGGGCUAAACCAUGCACCGAAGCUGCGGCAGCGACGCUUAUGCGUUGUUGGGUAGGGGAGCGUUCUGUAAGCCUGCGAAGGUGUGCUGUGAGGCAUGCUGGAGGUAUCAGAAGU
rnacentral:rRNA from 1 species